rnacentral:lncRNA from 1 species
AGCAACAAGCUUCUCCGUCGUUAUCUUCUCAGGGGCAAUAUGCAACCAUGCUCCAAUGCGUUGAAGAUCAGAUAUGGCCGUUGGAGGAGGCACAACAGGAUCAUCGCGAGCAGACAUAGCUGGGGUAGCAGGCUGGGCAUUGGUUUUGCGCUUCUUAGAACGCUUGACAUGUUGUGGGUUGAUUCACCUUGGAGGCGCCUGAAGGAAUCCAUCACGCAAGGCGCUAAGUCUAGCACUGCGAUGGACCUCAGAAUCAAUCAAGAUAGGCCUAAUAGAUGCAGAUUUACGAGCUCUCUUGUUGCUAAUAACAGGCAUAGCAGUAAACUGGAACUUCUCAGUUACAGGUUCAGUCAGUUCAAAGUGUUCAUCAAAGCAGAGUGCUCGAGCGAUCGGUCGCUUGACAGGUGAAAACUGACGAACAUUCUCAGGAGCGGAUGAGGGGGCAACAGAUUGAACUCUAGAACCCCAUCAAUGAAGCUAUGAUCCCAGGACCGCUUGAUUAAUGGAAACAGAGGCAUCUGUAAUGGCCUAGAAAUGACUGCAGAGUCAAAAUGCUGCAUGAACCUGUAGAAGGUACGUGUCCAUUGCAUCUGAGGGGGUAGAACUAGCCCAAAGAUAAUUAUAACCUAUCCAACAUGCAGAACCUGCUGAGCUAGCAGUUGAUCUACAUGUGGUUGAAAGGGGACAAUAUCUACAUUGGGCAAAGCAGCAGGAAGAUUGGCAUUAUUGACAAAGUCAUCAGAGACUUGCGGCACCAUAGACUCCUGAGACUGAAUAGGUUCUUCAUGUUACACUAGUUCUACAGCAUUGCCAUGGAAAGCAUCAUCCUGCACAUUCUCAUUGCCAGCAGCAGCAGGAGGCACAUCAUUCCAUCCUAACUCAGGGAACUCCGGUAUUACCCAGUUAUGGUUGUUCAAAUGCAUCUGGCCAGGAAGGGGAUGUGGAAUCCCAUCAAAAGGCAUUGGGUCCUCGUCAGCAGACAACACAUCCGCAAAAUCCGCAGAGAAAACAUAAACUGGAGCAGGCCAAGAAACCCUAAUAGAACCAAAAUCUCCAUACUCAUGAUAAACCACAUCCCGAGGAACCAUGGAAGGUGCAGGGAAGGACACAUAAGCAAGAGUCUGCACCAUUAGCUGACCAGUCUGGUGCCAAGCAUGAAAUCGCCCAAAAGUGCUAAUCACAUCUACUAUGUAUUGAGUCCGACGAUAAUCAAGAGGGACACCCAAUAGCAUGACCCAACCACGGCGCAAGCCCUGAGCAGCUCUAUAGUUAACCCCUUCAUCAUGAGGAAUAAAUCGAACAAAGCGAUCGUUGCCCAAAUCAAAGGGUGGAUGAUCCACCAAAACUUGCCUAGAGACUGCACUACGGAAACGGAAUAGUCCAACCCCCUGAAUCCAUGGCUAAGCAUCAAGAACAUCUCUCGCCAACUGAUUGACAACAAAAUCACUAACCAUGUUACGGUAGAGGGGAAUCACCUCCGGUAGUGGCUCUGUCUCGACGAUGCUAAUAGCAUACUCCUCAUGCCUUCUGUCAGGCGCAGUUGCUGGAGCGAAGAAGUUGCGAGGGAGACGGAGCGGCCCCCCAUCUAUGAUCUCAAAGCCCGGCGGCACGUACUGCAUGGAAUCCAACUCAAAGUUGGCCAUCUCUGGCGAUGUCGAUGCAGGUGUGUGCGGCAGUGGCGAUGGUGUUGAGGAUGGAGGUGGUGGCAUUUUUGGUAGUGGGGCGGAUGGCGGAGGUGGGGUUGGUGGUGGUAAUGGAGGUGGCGGAGGUGAAGACGAAGUAGGCUCUGAUGACGAAGCUAGAUGUAAAUCCCCGACGGGACGUAACAAUGGGCAAGCUGCAGCGGUAGGUUCGAGGGAGCUCGAGGCGUCAAGCGGCAAAAUCGAUAGUGGGUUGUCGGGUUGGAUGGCUGAUGGACUCUCAAUGACACGCAGGACCCACCUAAAACCCCCGGCAGGUGCAGAUCCUAGGCAAGAUUUAGCCAUGUGGCCUUGCCGAAAACAACGGCGACAACGUGUUUGAUUGGUGCAACUGGAGGUGAUAUGUGCCAUUGAAAAGCAGUUUUGGCAUUUCCAAACCUUAAACGCAAUUUCAUCAACCAUAUAAGAAAAUCCCUCCAAAUCUUCAAUCGAUUGGCCCAAAAUCCCGAUGGAUGAUAAGUUACGAUCCUGAUUGACUUGCCGUGCAUUGGGAGAUUCAGCAUUGACUGGGCCUGGUGGGUAGGCGCAUGGCGUAGAAGAUGGGCUAACCGGGGCAGUCUCGGCUCUAGGUGAUUUAAUAGGACCAACAAUAGGAAGUGGAUCAGAAGGGUGAAGAUUUGAAAAAAUCCCAGACCCGCCCAAUGAUCGCUCCGAGGAAUGAGGAACUAACUCAGGCGAGAUUGCCGCUGACCGAGUGGAAAGCAUAGGGACCGUACCAAAAUAGAUCGGAGGAGCAGCCACCGUCCACCGGAGCUCCGGCGCCGGUGAUGAAUGAAUAAUAAUGCGCUCGCGUGGAAUGAUAACAUAACCUGCAUCUUGAAUGGUAUAAAUGCAUGUUUGUGUGGUAGGGUAUCAAUAACCUUUGCAUGAAGGAUAAUUCUGAAACGUGGCAAAUGAAAGUUUCUUCCUGCAACUAGAUCUAGACUUCAAAGAAGAUUUGACUCGAGGCUAAUGCAUGGCCAUCAUGCCAAUCAUAGCACGAUGUUUGGUAGGGCUAACAAAAACCCAUUCAGCAUCACAUUCCUUUCUCCAAAUCAAAACUUCACGCCUCCAAUUAGGACCACCAUGUCCCCAUAGGUGGAAGAAACACUUAAAGUGCUCACAAACAAAAGAUCGAAAAGCAAGAACUUAGAUACCAACUUUUUUGCAUGAAACAUGAAAGAAGAAUACCUUGUCAUGUAUAUUGGAAACCAUGAACUCAAUCGCUAAUCCACCAAUAGCUGCCUCUAGUGCCACUGCCACUGAAUCAUCUGAGAGCGAAAAUCAUGCCUACUAGAAGACACCACCAUGAUGAAAGAACCCGUGCCAUCCGAAGGAUGAACCGAUACACCACAAGAUCUAUAGAUCUCAUUUGCAAAAACCAAACCCUUGGAGAAAUCCAAGCCAAGGGUGGAACUAGAGCCCUGAUCCAUUGAAGAUGGUGAUCCUUGUGUAGAGGAGGAGACGCCGGAGAGGAUGAGUGGAUUGGUUUGGGUAAUUAGUGGCUAUGGAGAGAGAUCGCCAGAGAGCCUAGUGGCGAGGGUGGGGUGGGGGUGGGAACCAUCAUGAAUGAAUAAUAAUGUAGCGGCGAGGGUGGGGGGGCGAUCAGAUGUAUUGCCACAGCUAGUAUAUCAAAUGGUUUUCAAAGGUCUGGGGUACAUGAUUUCCGAGGUUUUCUUGGUUAUGUGUUGACAAAUGGAUAUAGUUGGAGUGUAGGAUUUGUUAGUUGUGUGAGAUAUUUGUGCCUCCCUAUAUCCCCAACACCAUAUUGCAUAACCAGAAAAUUUUGAGAUUUCAUAGGUGGGAAUUCAAGUAGUUACCUAGGUUUAUCCUUCCAACAAAUGCAUGAAGGUUUAUGUAUUUGCUUCCGGCUUAUUCUGCAAGCCAAAUCCUUUAUUUUGUCUUCAGUUGUGGUAUUCGAGUUGCUUCAAUGUAAAGUGUUGAUUCCAUACCUUUCCUAAGCGGUGUUCUCAUAUUUCUAUGUGAAUCCUAAUCCUUUCGGAUCAUCGAGAUUGUCACGUCAAUUCAUUUCCAACCGGUGUGCUUCUCUGCAAGUUAAUCCCAUCCUUUCGAUAUUUGCUAGAUCAAUUCUCAGUUCUUCACAAUGAUGUUUGUUUCAUCCAUCCCAAGUUGCCUUUUUUCCCACCAUCCCAACCAUUGCUUCAAGGACUCAUAUAUCUUAAUCAAGUAUCCAUGUUAUUUAUGAGAAUUAUCUCCAUUUUUUCCCUUUAAUGUUCUUAUCCGGUGAUCCCUCGUGAAGAUAAUCACGAGCUUCAAGUUCAUCAUUCUUCGUUCUCAUUUUCUUUUCCUGUGGAUUCAAUUCAAGCUUUCAAUGUUGAUCAUAUCCCUUUCCUCGUUCAAAUGCUUUCCCAUGCCGGUGCACCUCAUAAUCAUUGCCCGCUUGCUAUUCAAUUGUUCCGGACUGCUCAAGAUAUCUCUGAAGAUUCGUGUUUCCACUCUGCAGCAAUUCAAGCUAUUUCGAGGUUGUUACCUCAUUCAACCCAUUUAAUUCAACCGGUGCAAUAUCUCUUUAAAAAUCGUUCAACGGUGUUUUCUUUUGAGUUGGCCCUAACCCACAGGUCUUUUCCCAGGAUCUUACCUGACUCUUAAAAUUUAUCUGGAGCGAUUCUCAAAUUCUUUUCAAAUUUUGACGUAAGAAUGGAUUUUCAUCAGUCAUAUGCUUUCACCAAGAUCGCUUUCAGAUUAUUUUCAUCCUUGGCUCAACAUUUAUGUUCUUCAUUGUUUCGAAGUGACUCAACAAUUUUGGUGGUGUUUCUCAUCGUCAUUCUCAGCUUUUGAACAACUGAAGAAGCUUAAAUCUUGGUCCGUUCUCUUGAAGAUUCAUAGUUCUAGUUUCAUGCCAUCCUCACAAUUGUAUUCGAUUGUGGGAAUUCUUUUCACCCAUCCGACGCAUUUCAGGAGUUACUUUCCUUUCUUGAUCAUCUGAAGGCCAUCAAUUCUGAAUAUUACUCAUUCUUAGCUUUCAGCCAUCAUUCUCCAAAUCUUACUGGUGCAUCGUUCAAGUAUUCUCUAGUCAGCUUGCUAUCUCUUCAUUCUCUUGUAUCUAAAUUCACUCAAGUAUCUUCGUUUGUUUUCUAAUUCUUCCCGGUGAUUCAUACUCUUCCUUCGUUUGUUUCAAUUCUUACAAUGGUUCGUUCAAGACUCCUCUUCCUUUGUUAUCAUAUCAAUUCAUUCAUUCUUCCAAACAUCUUACCGGUGGUUUGCUCAAGUUGUUCCCAAGUUUGCGCUAUAUCUCUCCUCAAUCCUUGCAAGAAGAAUAAGUAGUAUGUCUACCUAUUGCUUGUCAUCAAUUUAAGUUAAUGAAAGGUAAGCAUGGCAUAAUUCUUAUUCUUGUUUCCUCAAGGUGAUUUAAUAUUUUCCUCCAGAGAUUGUUCAUGAUGAGUAAAUUCUUGAUUCCAAGUGAUUGAUCUCUCUUUCCGGUGUUGCGACACUUCACGGUUAUAUCGUCAUGAAGCUCCAUCUAAUCAUUACAAGGCUCCAAUCUUCUUCUCUUCAAUUUUCACUUCCUUGUUGUCAUUCUAUUUUUAACCACAGUUCAUGGUGGUUCGCUAAGGACUUAAUUCAUUCUCGAAGUGUUCGUCAAGACUUUUGUUGGGAGAGCUCAAAUAUUAUUCAUCUUGCAUUUCGAAGUGCAAUUAUUUCUACCUUAUCUUUGACGUGUCGGUAUGUCGUUCUUGACAAUUUCCCUUUGUGUUUCAUGAUUCACAGAUAUCAAGAAUGACAUAUUUUAAAUCCACCAUUUUCUCUUCGUUCAGUAGAUCUUUUCAACCUAUCAAUCUUUUUGUUGGAGUUAUCAUGGUAGAUUUUUCACCUAAUGCCUUCCCUGAGGACUGUUCUAAUUGUGGUGCUUAUCAAUGAUCUAAGUUUUCUCCUAUCCUCUCAGUGAAAGAAGUUUUCAUCUCUUCGCUUGAUCUUAAGCAAUCAAUUGUUUUCAUUAGUGGAAAAUUUCACCUCUAGUUUUGAGAUGUUUUCAUAAGCCCACGAGGACCAUAUCAUUUGAUUGUUGAUUCUUCAACAACUCUUUUCAAGCCUUUCUCAUAAGGAUGCUCUUUCAAAUUCAUUUGCAGUAGAAUAUGUUGGUUUUCUCUUCUCCAUUCUUUUCAUUUCACUCUUCAUAUGUUCUGGAGGUAUCGUGUUGUUCCUCUCGUAAAGUAUCAUCCCAUCUUGUCAAGUUCAUGCCCAAAUCCUUCCAUUUUCAACUAGAGUGAUGUCCAAAUUCUUCUUUCCCUUGUAUAUCCUGCUUCAACCAGAGGGGUUCCAAAUUCUUUCUUGACCAUUAUGCUCUUCAUUCAUAUCUUUGCAACCUCCAAGUUUCUCAUCUUGUCUCUUUUGUUCUCUCUUUUCUAACGAAGUGUUUUCAACUUCGUUCAUCUCAAUUAUCUUAUUUCUUUCAAGUUGUUCAACCUCUCAAGGUUCCUGGUUUCACUCGUCUGUCGAAGAAGCGACUUCAUUUUACCUCUUCUCUCCGUUUUCAUUCUUAGAUCUCGGGGCGAGAUCUCUUGUAAGUGGAGGAGAGUUGUGACAGCCUGAGACCAACGCUCUAGAUGCCUUCCAUGUUUUGCGUGUUAGCUGUGUUAAUUAUUUGUUUGUUGCAUUUCAUCAUUGCAUCAUUUGCUCUGCAUCAUGUUUUCAUGCAACCCUUUUAAAAAACUCAACUAAAUAAAAUGCAUGGAUCUUUGAUCCAUUUAAAUCGAGGGAAUUCACAUGGUGAUUUCUCUUUAUAACAUAUCCUCACAAUAUUUAGGGAGCUAUAAUAAAUAUUUCAUUACUUUGGGAUUAACCGCAACCCACUCGCAAUUUAAUUCUCAUGCAUUUUUGCUCCAAGUUUGUUCUCCAAACUAUCUCCAUAAUUCUUUAUCUCUUUUAUAGAGGUUCCACCAAAAAUCCUCAGCCAUUUUUGACCUUCCAAACACUUAUUUCCUACUCGAACCCGUUUGAAUUAAAUUCAAAUGAGUUUCAGUUUAACUUCACACGCGUGCUCAUUUCUAUUUUUCUUAGAUCAAGCUCAUUUUUAUGAGUGUGAGAAAAAGACCCUCCUGCUCAAGCUCCAUCCCUAAUCUCUCUUUCUUUUUUGUCAUAUCUCUAUUUUUUUACAUAGAAGAGAAGGGCGAGAGAGCAACCCACUAGCCUAGUUGGGCCUCCUAAGCCAGCAGCGAGGCUAGCCCAUUUGCUUCCCAAGGCCCAGCCACGCGUCCCUUCAACCCUAGCCCGAUCCUCCUCUCGAUCCCUCGCUCUCCUCUCGAUCCCAUCUCCCUCCUGACCGCUGCCACUUGCACACACAGAGCCAGGAAGAGGAGCUCCCUGCGCCCGAUCCCCUCGCCGCCACCACCGCGAGUUCCCCUUCGUCGCGCCGUCCCUCAAGCUCCUGCAAGCCCGCGACCUCCUUAGCACCGAGCGCCGCCCCUCCGUCGUUUGCCUCUGGUGCCUCUGACCUUCCUCGCGCCUGAUCUGCUCCAAGCCUGGCCGCCGGCCAAGUUCCUUGACCCACCGACCCGAGCCGCCUCCUUGUUGUCCCCGUCACCAGCACUGCUGCCCUGCCGUGCCUAAGUCUCCUCGUGCACCUCCCAGCUUUGUCCGUCGUAGCGGCCGCCAUGCUCCAGCGCCGCCUUGACCUCAUAAUCCUCAACCUCCAUGCCGUCUCAAAGUCCGUCACCCACCGCUAGAUGGUCCAGUCGCUGCUUCUUCCGGCUGCGCCUGUACGUCGACGCCAAGUUCCGUUGCCUGCUCGCCGCCAUCGCCCUAGAAGGAGCUCCACCUCCCCUGCUUCAUGCCAAGGCCAACAUCGGCAACUUCUUCCAGCUACUUCUCGUCCAUGCCCCGACGACCAGCGGCUCGAGCUACCUCCACGCACCUCCGGUGACCUCCCGGGGCAGGGCCUCUGCAAGUUCCUUGAUGCCCCUUUAGUUCAUCAAGACCGGCAAGUUCGACUACCGCAUCGAAAUGUCAAGUACAUGACAAACCUCGAAAAUGUUGGACGCACCAAGUUCCUCUUCAAAUACGAACGACCAUAUCCGAUGUGGAUUUCGUCAAGUACCCUAGAGGCCACAUUGAUGCCAAGUACCUCUAUCGCCGUGUCCGGAAUUGUCAAACCACCUUGGAUUUUGCCGAGUGCCACUACACCCAAAGGGACUCGGAUUCGUCAAGUAGCCUGACAACAUGUGUACCACUACCGUCGACUCUAUGGACGUCAAGUUCCUCUUAGAAACGUGAACCACUACUUCCCUCGACGAACUUGAUGCGUUCUAAAAAUGCACGCUUCAAAGGUAUAUCCCCGAGACGACGUCUGUGAAUGAAUCCGAGUCCAUGUGUGUUGUAUGAGAUGCUCGUGUUUGCACCAUGUCCGAGUUGUCAUUGCACGUUCCUCCUCCUAUGCCAUGUCGUCGACCCAUGGGAACCCGGUAACCGGGAUCACCCCACCAUCUUUUGCAUGUUCCGUACAUCCAUACUUUCUUUUGCACCGACAUCUCGACGAUUGUCCGAUCAUCGGAAUGUUGUCGUGGCACCAUUUCAGUUGUCAUUGUCAUGGCACCCCUUUCGUUCUGCCAUGGUAACCAAAUGCUUCAUAACUUGCUCAUUUCAACAUUUUCAUAAGAUCGCAUAAAACUUGUAUAUGUCAUCUGCAUCAUGAUAACAACAUUUAAAAUGGUUGGAAUUGUUGUUUGUUAUUUCUGGCCUCUUUUAAACUUUCCUAGAAAGGUAGUUUUAUUAUGCUUCACCUCUUGCCAUGUUAACCAAUAGUUAAUGUUGUCUUGUACAUAAACGAGAGCAAACUAAAUAAUUGAAUGUGUUGAUUCAUCAAUACGUAACUCGUUGCAUAUUGAGCUCCACUUAACCUGUAGUAUUGUUUGUUGCACUUUGCCAUGCCAUGCCUCAUUGAAAAUGGACAUGCAUCAUACUUGAUUGUGCAUCAUGCCAUGUUUAUGCUAGUGUGUUUACCAUGUUGUUUGCUUCUUUCAGGUUAUGCACCUUCUCGAUAUUUCUGGUUACGUUGGGAUUGUGAUGAUUUGUUCGACUAUGCCCGUUCGUCUACUUCAUGGAUCUGUUCUUCUUCCUAGCGGGAUUCCAGGCAAGAUGAACAUUACCCUAGAUAUCACUACUAUCUUGUCUUUGCUAGCUGUCUCGAUGCUAUCGCUAUGUCAUGCUACCUACCACUUGUUUAUUAAGCCUCCCAAAUUGCCAUGAUAAGCCUCUAAUCUUUUCCACCUUCCUAGCAAACCGUUGUUUGGCUAUGUUACCGCUUGCUCGAGCCCUCUUAUAGUGCUGCUAGUUGCAGGUGCAGUGCAGGUUGUUCCAUGUUGGGACAUGGAUGUCAUGGGAUAUCACAAUAUCUCUUAUUUAAUUAAUGCAUCUAUAUACUUGGUAAAGGGUGGAAGGCUCGACCUUUUUCCUGGUGUUUUGUGCAAUUCUUGUCGCCCUAGUUUCCGUCAUACCGGUGUUAUGUUCCUUGAUUUUGCGUUCCUAACACGGUCGGCGUUUAUGGGCCCCCUUGACAAUUCGCUUUGGAAAAACUUCUUGAGCAAGGCCCAACAUUGGUUUUCCCAUUUGCCCAACAUAAUAAUAAACAUGAUAAUAAAUUUGACACAUAUGGAGUUAGCGCGACCCGAGGUUCGUUAUUCAACGUAACACAGGGGGCCCAGUGCUGAAGGUGCUGGUCCAAACCGGGUAGACUGCGGGGCCACCAUGGGGAAACUCGAGGUUUGGUUUUACUCAUAGGAUGUCCCAUCCGAUCAUGGCCUGAUACGAUAUACGCGUGGCUACUAUUAGGGUGUCGGCAUGUCGGGAGGUCUUGCUGGACUUGUUUUACCAUUGUCGAAAUAUCUUGUGAACCGGGAUUCUGAGCUUGAUCGGGUUAUUCCGGGAGGAGGAUUUUCCUCUGUUGAUCAUGAGAGUUUGUGAUUGACUAAGUUGGGACACCCCUGUAGGGUUUAAACUUUAAAAAGCCGUGCCCAUGGUUAUGUGGCAGAUGGGAGUUUUCAUUAUCCGGUUAUAAAGAACUUGACACCAGAUCCGAAUUAAAAUACUCCAACCGUGUGUGUAACUGUGACUGUCUCUUUUCGAGUGGGUUCAAGAAGAGAACAUGGUGGGGUUGUGUAUGACUCGUAAGUAGUUCAGGGUCAUUUUUUGAUCAUUACUAGAUUGCGACUGUUAUCCAUAGUUUCUCUUAUUAUUCUUGUACUCGUAAGUUAGCCACCAUACAAUGCUUAGUGGUGCUACAACCUCACCACUUAUCCAUUCCAUACCCAUUAAGCUUUGCUAGUCUUGAUACCCAUGGUAAUGGGAUUGCUGAGUCCUUGUGGCUCACAAAUUAUUACAACAACAGUUGCAGGUACAGGUAAUGCAUGAUCUGACAUGAGAGCGAUGCUUGCUUGUUUUGGAGUUCUUCUGCUUCUUCGAUCAAGGGAUAGGUUCCGGGUCGGGAGCCUGGGAUUAGCAGGGUGGAUGUCAUUCUUAUUUUUUGUUUGAUUUCAUCCGUAGUCAGAUCCUGCUCUUCUGUAUGAUGAUUUCUAUGUAUUGAUGUGUUGAUGUAUUCAUGUUGUAGCUUGUGGGAGUGUAAGCCUUUAUCUGGUAUUCUCAUCUAUUCAAUACAUGGUAUGUUGUAAUGAUAUCCACCUUGCUAUGCACUCGAAAUGCUGUUGUGCCCCAAUCAUGAAUUCAUCAUGUGAUUGGGAUAGAAUCGCAUCUUGGGCGCUACAAAGGAGAAGGACAACUCUUUCUAGGAAGAGAACCUCGAGGCCACCCUUCGCAACAAGGACGGAGAACUGGAGGCCCUUGUCCAGCAACGCACCAAGGAUCUGGAGGAUAAGCACAAGGCGGCCCUUGACACGCUCACCCUUGACUCAACUCCCCAGCUAAAGAAAGUUGUCGAUGAUCUUGCCGCUGCAUCCAUUGCCAAGGCUGACCUUGAUCAACAGGUGGCCAAACUGACAGAGGAUCUUGCCGGGAGCACCAAGGAAAUUGUGGCUCUCAAGGAGGAAGCGCAGAAGGCUGAGAUUCUUCUGAAGGAGGUGCAAUCGCAGCUUUCUCCAAAGAGCCAGGACUUUGACACCGCCAAUUGCACUAUCACUAAUAUGAAGUCAAGGCUUGGCACCUUGGAGAGUGGAAUCAAGUUUGUCGGAGCUCGUGAGAAGCAUCUGAUGAAGGACUUGGACAACACGAGAAACCUCCAGAAGGACAUAGAGGGCAAACUGGCGAACCAAGUUGAGCAGUGUGAUCUCGGGAUCAAGAGUCUGGUCGACAUUGUCGAGUGCCUCUCUGCCUAGAUCGCAAUGAUGGAUUUGAAGAGCCCAACCUUCUUAGUCAGCAGACAUGAGGUUCCGAGCGUCAAGCUUGCGCUCUUCUUCGAAAGCUUGAUCGAAGGGCUGAGGACACAUGAGGAAGAAAAAGCCGCCCGUUUUGCAAAUAAGUCCCAAAAGCUUGCAUGUGAUGCCCUCUUCAUGGUCUUGAGCAACAUCGCCUAUGGCCAUCCGGACCUCAACCUCCCCGAUGGCUUCAAGAGGCUGCCGGCAGGUGCUGAUGUUUCUGCUGCCGAGGAGAAGGCGGGCCCCUUCGCCGACAAGGUCCUCUCCGUCCCCAAGGUCCCCUAAGGCCGCCAAGCACAGCCUUGAACCAUUUUUUGCCGUGGUGCCCUGUAAUGAAACAUUACACAUGUCUCGUGUUUAGGCCUCGUACUGCUUUUGUUUGUGUUGAACCGAUGUUUAAUUAAAUUUGAGUGCAUGCUAUCCCUCUUGUGUUUCACCCAUGGAUGUUUGUAUGGUUAGCUUCCUUCUAUGUGUUUUGUUUGCCUGACCAUAACAUGCUGCCGUGAUUGCUAUGAGGAGCGGGUCCUUAGCAUUCAGCUGGCAAGGACAUGUCCCGGCAAGUUUUUCCUUAGGAGUCUUUGACGCUGCCGCCCACUUUGUUGAGUAGUGCUCGAAACAAAAGCGGGGCCGCAGACAAAUACAUCAAGGUGCCACCACAUGAAAGGCCCUAACCAUAUAGAAAAACUUAGUUGUCCGAGGGAUAAGCAAAUGCAGACUUCGGAUAAAAAGUUAGUGGGCAUGUUAACUUAGCUUUUGUUCACGCUUCCUCCUUCUUUCGUCACGGUCGUUCGUCACGUCCGCAUAUCUUAAGAGGAUGGUUUUUGCGCAUCUAUUUCAGAUCUACAACAUCAUUCAACAUAAAAAAUGCACAAGGGGAAAACUUGGCAGUUUAUCAGUUGCGCGUCAACCCCCGGCAAGGGCCGGAGGGGAUAGUAGAUCACUUGCAGGUGAUAAUGCAUGAUGAAAGGUAGUGUUGGUUCCUCUCUCCUUUCCCCUUACACUUUUAACGAUAUCACAGCUGUAGGCAUAAAGGUCACACUGGCACGGGCGGCCUUGCCGGAGCGUGCUUGCCGGGCAUCAAUCAACAGAUUCACACCAGUGUUUUACUCGGGAUUUUCCCUUAGCGGGACAAAUGCUGGACCGAGUUAUGCAUGGGCUUAUCGACGUUGAUGACGCUAACCCUCAAUCAUUGACAAGGGAAAGUGGUGGAGGAGGAAACCAUAUACCAUAUAUCCUCGCUUUUCCCCCAGAUGGGGGCUGCAUGGUGGCCACGCUACCCGAGCCAUCCAGGGUCGUCGUGUCGCCGCCACCUUUCAUUUUUGCCGCAGCCAUGGCCGCGGCGGAGAUGGGCGACGGAACCUGGGUAGGACGGACGAGGGAGUGACAUCGCCUUCCCACCCUCCCCCCUCCCGAAGAAGUUGGCGGAGGGAGCGUCGAUGUUGAUGAUGAUGCAUCUUGAAGCGUUGUUCACAAACUCGGGUUUGCGCAAGCGCUUUCCCCUACCUGGCGCGCCAAAGGUGUCGUGGAUCACGAUCACGUAUGGGGCCAACAACCCCUUGUGGUUCGGCAAGGGGGAAGGGCGUGUUGCACAAAGAUCGGAGACCAUGGAACAGCAUGGCGAGGGUGACGCUGGUGGUUUUUACCCAAGCUCUUUUUUCUAGAGGUGUUGCCGGGGAGGAGUUUAGUAUUCCUAGUCUUUGUCUUUAGAGUUUUUCUUUAAGUUAACUUUCAAUUUUUGCCUUUACUUUUUGAUACGUCUCCAACGUAUAUAUAAUUUUUUGAUUAGUCCAUGCUAUUAUAUUAUCCAUCUAGGAUGUUUUAUAUGCAUUUAUAUGCUAUUUUAUAUGAUUUUUGGGACUAACCUAUUAACCUAGAGCCCAGUACCACUUUCUGUUUUUUCCUUGUUUUUGAGUUUUACAGAAAAAGAAUACCAAACGGAGUCCAAUUGACCUGCCAAUUUUUGUGGAUUUUUUAUGGACCAAAAGAAGCCCCCGAAGUAAAAGAGUUGGGCCAGAAGAGUCUCGAGCCAUCCACGAGGGUGGAGGGCGCACCCUACCCCCUGGGCGCGCCCCCUACCUCAUGGAUGACUCAGAGACCCCCUGACGUGAGACCGAUGCCAAAAAUUCCUUUAAAUACAGAAACCCCCAAAAAGAAACCUAGAUCGGGAGUUCCGCCGCCGCAAGCCUCUAUAGCCACCAAAAACUAAUCGGGACCCUGUUCCGGCACCCUGCCGGAGGGGGGAAUCAUCACCGGUGGCCAUCUUCAUCAUCCCGGCGCUCUCCAUGACGAGGAGGGAGUAGUUCACCCUCGGGGAUGAGGGUAUGUACCAGUAACUAUGUGUUUGAUCUCUCUCCCUCGUGUUCUUGAUUUGGCAUGAUCUUGAUGUACCGCGAGCUUUGCUGCUAUAGUUGGAUCUUAUGAUGUUUCUCCCCUUCUACCUUCUUGUAAUGGAUUGAGUUUUCCCUUUGAAGUUAUCUUAUCGGAUUGAGUCUUUAAGGAUUUGAAACACUUGAUAUAUGUCUUGUGUGGGAUACCCGUGGUGACAAUGGGGUAUUCUAUUGAUUCACUUGAUGUAUGUUUUGGUGAUCAACUUGUGGGUUCCGUGACCUUGGGAAUCUAUGCAUAGGGGUUGGCACACGUUUUCGUCUUGACUCUCCGGUAUAAACUUUGGGGCACUCUUUGAAGUUCUUUGUGUUGGUUGAAUAGAUGAAUCUAAGAUUGUGUGAUGCAUAUCGUGUAAUCAUACCCGCGGAUACUUGAGGUGACAUUGUAGUAUCUAGGUGACAUUAGGGUUUUGGUUGAUUUGUGUCUUAAGGUGUUAUUUUACUAUGAACUCUAGGGCUGUUUGUGACACUUCUAGGAAUAGCCCAAUGGAUUGAUCGGAAAGAAUAACUUUGAGGUGGUUUCGUACCCUACAAUAAUCUCUUUGUUUGUUCUUAGUUAUUAGUGACUAUGGAGUGACUCUUUAUUGCAUGUUGAGGGAUAGUUAUAUGAUCUAAUUAUGUUAUCCUUGUUGAGAGAACUUGCACUAGGGAAAGUAUGAACCCUAGGCCUUGUUUCAACUCAUUACAAUACUGUUUUCGCUCACUUUUAUCAUUAGCUAUCUUGCUGUUUUUAUAAUUUCAGAUUAUAAAAACCUAUAUAUACCAUCCAUAUUGCACUUGUAUCACCAUCUCUUCGUCGAACUAGUGCACCUAUACAUUUUACCAUUGUAUUGGGUGUGUUGGGGACACAAGAGACUCUUUGUUAUUUGGUUGCAAGGUUGUUUGAGAGAGACCAUCUUCAUCCUACGCCUCCUACGGAUUGAUAAACCUUAGGUCAUCCACUUGAGGGAAAUUUGCUACUGUCCUACAAACCUCUACACUUGGAGUCCCAAGAACGUCUACAAGAAGAAGGUUGUGUAGUAGACAUCAAGCUCUUUUCUGACGCCGUUGCCAGGGAGGUUAGUGCUUGACGGUAUAUCUUUAGAUCUUGCAAUCGAAUCUUUUAGUUUCUUGUUUUAUCACUAGUUAGUUUAUAAAAGAAAACUACAAAAAAAUGGAAUUGAGGGUGCCUCAUAUGCUUCAUCUUUUUAGUAUCUUUCGUGAAAAUAAGGAUUCCGAUAAUUGUGCCAAAAUGUUAGAAGAAGAAUGCAAUAAAUGUUUGGCAUACAAUCUUUGAAUGAUGAGCAUGAUUGUGAUGUUGUUAGUAUGAACUCUUUGAAUAUCCGUAGUACUAAUGAUGAUUGCACUAGUCAUGAUGAAAAUGUCUCUUAUAAGCAUGUCAAUUUUUGUGGAGUGCAUAGAGUUUUCAAGUACACACCAAAUAGGGAAGAUAGAUUUUGCAAGAGGCAUAAGUAUUUAGAAACUAAAUGGUUGCAAGAGAGGCUAGAUGCUUGUGCUGAAAUUAAAAAUUUCUUUGCCACCCUUGUGAACUUUGCAAUGAACGUGAUCGUUUAAAUCUCCAAUGCAAAUUGUUUCAUGAUCGUAUCGUGUACAAAAUUUGUGAUGAUUUGAUUUCCCUUGCGCAUCAUAAUGAACUUAGUUUGCUUGUGGGUUAUGAAGAAAUGAAAUGUAUAACUAAGGAUAUUCCAGAAUUUUUCCUUGAUAAAGUUCUUGAUUUUGAUCUAGAGGAAAUUUAUAUGUAUUGUGCGGUGAAUUGCAUUGAAAAUCCUUAUAUUGCCAAUUACAUAAAGACAAGAAAAAAAAUAGAAGAUGAAGAGAAUACUAAUGAAAGGGAAGAGAUUUCCCAAUAUCCUCCUAUUCUUUCUUAUGAUGAAUCAGGUGACGAGGAGGAGCCUUCUAUUCAACCAAUAUCAUUAAUAAGGAGCUCCAAAAAGAGGAUUAAACCCAUACUUAAUGUGAAGAAGAAAAAGAAAAGACGGAGAAGUCAUCCCAAAUGAUGUUGCUCCUAUUACUCAUUGUGAUGAUGAUAAUUGCUAUACUAUUAGUGCUAUCCAUACUAUUAAUGAUGAGAGUGAUUAUGAUUAUGAUACGAAAAGGCCCAAGCUUGGGGAUGCUAUGUUUAAUGAAGAUGAUAUUUUUAGUCUCCCAAGUUUUGAUGAGCAAAUUUAUUAUGAGGAUAGCAUGCCUCCUAUUUAUGAUGAUUAUAUUGAUGAAAGGGGGUUUGGAAGAGUGUCAACUUUAGGAAGUAAUGAUCCCACUAUUUUGGAGGAUCUUGAAUAUUAUUGUGAUAAUAGAGGUCAUGACUUUAUUUAGUAAUGAUUCCACUAUCUUGGAAGAGGUUUCAAUUGAUUAUGAUGAGAACAAAGUUGCUACUUAUGAUGAUUAUUGUGAUGAUACUUAUGUUAUAAAAAGUAGUGAUGAUUAUAUUUACAAAACUUGUCAUGAUUAUGAUUACCCUUUUCUGAACAUUACUCUUUUAAUGUGGAAACAAUUUAUAGUAUUCGAGUUUUUUAUGAUACUCCCACUAUUCCGAAAGAGAAUAAUUUUGCUUAUGUGGCGAGUAGUAAAUUUUCUAUGCUUGUAGAUCAUGAAAAGAAUGCUUUAUGUGAUGGUUAUAUUGUUGAAUUUAUUCAUGAUGCUACUGAAAAUUAUUAUGAGGGAGGAAUAUAUUCUUGUAGGAAUUGCAAUAAUAUCAAGUUUCCUCUCUAUGUGUUAAAAGUUUUGAAGUUAUGCUUGUUUUGUCUUCCUAUGCUAGUUGCUUCUUGUUCCCAUAAAUUGUUUGCUCACAAACUACCUAUGCAUAGGAACUGGUUAGGCUUAAAUGUGUUAGUCAUAUUAUUCAUGAUGCUCUCUUUAUGUUUCAAUUCUUAUAUUUUAUGUGAGCAUCAUUGAAAUCGUCAUGCCUACCUAAAAAGGCAUUAAAGAAAAACGCUUGUUGGGAGACAGCCCAAUAUUUACCCCUACUGUUUUUGUGUGUCCACAUGAUUAAUCUACUGUAGUAAUCAUGUUUUAUAGUUUUUGUUUCAAUAAAGUGCCAAGUAGAACCUACGGGAAGACUUGGGUGAAAGUUAAUGUGAUCUUGCUAUAAAAAACAGAAACUUUGCGCUCACAAGAUUAGUUGUCAUUUUUACAGAAUAGUGAUUUUAAGUUGAUUCUUUUUGCAUAAUAUUAAUAGAAACAUUACUCACGUCCACCAAUGUAUUUCAGAAUUUUUGGAGUUACAGAAGUAUUCGAGAGUUACAUAUUACUACAGACUGUUCUGUUUUUGACAGAUUUUGUUUUCUGUGUUGUUUGCUUAUUUUGAUGAAUCUAUGAGUAGUAUCGGAGGGUAUCAACCAUAGAGAAGUUGGAAUACAGUAGAUAUUAAACCAACAUAAAUAAAUAAUGAGUUCACAAUAGUAUCAAAAGUGGUGAUUUUAUUUCCUUAUACUAACGGAGCUUACGAGUUUUCUAUUGAGUUUUAUGUUGUGAAGUUUUCAAGCUUUGGGUAAAGAUUCGAUGGACUAUGGAAUAAGGACUGGCAUGAGCCUAAGACUGGGGAUGCCCAAGGCACCCCAAGGUAAUAUUCAAGGACAAGCAAGAGCCUAAGCUUGGGGAUGCCCCGGAAGGCAUCCCCUCUUUCGUCUUCGUUCAUCGGUAACCUUACUUGGAGCUAUAUUUUUAUUCACCACAUGAUAUGUGUUUUGCUUGGAGCAUCAUUUUAUUUUGUUUUGUUUUGCUUGAUGUUUGAAUAAAAUACCAAGAUCUUAAAUUCUUAAAUGUUAGAGAGUCUUCACAUAGUUACAUAAUUAUUCAACUCCUCAUUGAUCUUCACUCAUAUCUUUCGGAGUAGUUUGUCGUUUGCUCUAGUGCUUCACUUAUAUCUUUUAGAGCACGGCGGUGGUUUUAUUUUUAAGAAAUAGAUGAACUCUCAUGCUUCACUUAUAUUGUUUUGAGAGUCUUGAACAGCAUGGUAAUUUGCUUUGGUUAUAAAUUUAGUCCUAACAUGAUAGGCAUCCAAGAGGGAUAUAAUAAAAAAAUUCAUAUAAAGUGCAUUGAAUACUAUGAGAAGUUUGAUUCUUUAUGAUUGUUUUGAGAUAUGAAGAUGGUGAUAUUGAAGGAAAUAUGCCCUAGAGGCAAUAAUAAAGUUAUUAUUUAUUUCCUUAUUUCAUGAUAAAUGUUUAUUAUUUAUGCUAGAAUUGUAUUAACCAGAAACAUAAUACAUGUGUGAAUACAUAGACAAACAGAGUGUCACUAGUAUGCCUCUACUUGACUAGCUCGUUGAAUCAAAGAUGGUUAAGUUUCCUAGCCAUAGACAUGAGUUGUCAUUUGAUUAACGGGGUCACAUCAUUAGAGAAUGAUGUGAUUGACCUGACCCAUUCCGUUAGCAUAGCACUUGAUCAUUUAGUUUGUUGCUAUUGCUUUCUUCAUGACUUAUACAUGUUCCUAUGACUAUGAGAUUAUGCAACUCCUGUUUACCGGAGGAACACUUUGUGUGCUACCAAAUGUCACAACGUAACUGGGUGAUUAUAAAGGUGCUCUACAGGUGUCUCCGAAGGUACUUGUUGGGUGGCGUAUUUCGAGAUUAGGAUUUGUCACUCCGAUUGUCGGAGAGGUAUCUCUGGGCCCUCUCGGUAAUGCACAUCACAUAUGCCUUGCAAGCAUUGCAACUAAUGAGUUAGUUGCGGGAUGAUGUAUUACAAAACGAGUAAAGAGACUUGCCGGUAACGAUAUUGAACUAGGUAUUGAGAUACCGACGAUCGAAUCUCAGGCAAGUAACAUACCGAUGACAAAGGGAACACCGUAUGUUGUUAUGCUGUUUGACCGAUAAAGAUCUUCGUAGAAUAUGUGGGAGCCAAUAUGAACAUCCAGGUUCCGCUAUUGGUUAUUAACCAGAGACAUGUCUCGGUCAUGUCUACAUAGUUCUCGAACCCGUAGGGUCCGCACGUUUAACGUUUCGAUGACGGUUAUAUUAUGAGUUUAUAUGUUUUGAUGUACCGAAGGUUGUUCGGAGUCCCGGAUGUGAACCCGGACAUGACGAGGAGUCUCGAAAUGGUCGAGACAUGAAGAUUGAUAUAUUGGAAGCCUAUGUUUGGAUAUCGGAAGUGUUCCGGGUGAAAUCGGGAUUUUACCGGAGUACCGGGAGGUAAAUGGGCCUUAGUGGGCCUUUACAGAGAAGAGGAGAGGCGGCCAGGGCUGGGCCGCACGCCCCUCCCCCUAGUCCCAAUAGGACAAGGAGAGGGGGGCGCCCCCCCUCCUUUCUUCUCUCCCUCCUCUUUCCCCCUCUCGAAUCCUAUUCCAACUAGGAAAAGGGGGGAGUCCUACUCCCGGUAGGAGUAGGACUCCUCCUGGCGCGCCCUCUCCCUGGCCGGCCGCACCCCCCCUUGCUCCUUUAUAUACGGGGGCAGGGGCACCCCAUAGAGACAACAAUUGAUCAAGUUGAUCUUUUAGCCUUGUGCGGUGCCCCCUCCACCAUAGUCCACCUCGAUAAUACUAUAGCGGUGCUUAGGCAAAGUCCUGCGUCGGUAGAACAUCAACAUCGUCACCACGCCAUCGUGCUGACGAAACUCUUCAUCAACACUCGGCUGGAUCGGAGUUCGAGGGACGUCAUCGGGCUGAACGUGUGUUGAACUCGAAGGUGCCGUGUGUUCGGUACUUGAUCGGUCGAAUCAUGAAGACGUACGACUACAUCAACCGCGUUGUGCUAACGCUUCCGCUUUCGGUCUACGAGGGUACGUGGACAACACUCUCCCCUCUCGUUGUUGUGCAUCACCAUGAUCUUGCGUGUGCAUAGGAAUUUUUUUGAAAUUACUACGUUCCCCAACAGUGGCAUCCGAGCCAGGUUUUACGCGUAGAUGUCAUAUGCACGAGUAGAACACAAGUGAGUUGUGGGUGAUAUAAGUCAUACUGCUUACCAGCAUGUCAUACUUUGGUUCGGCGGUAUUGUUGGAUGAAGCGGCCCGGACCGACAUUACGCGUACGCUUACGCGAGACUGGUUCUACCGAUGUGCUUUGCACACAGGUGGCUGGCGGGUGUCGGUUUCACCAACUUUAGUUGAACUGAGUGUGGCUAUGCCCGGUCCUUGGGAAGGUUAAAACAGCACCAACUUGACGAACUAUCGUUGUGGUUUUGAUGCGUAGGUAAGAACGGUUCUUGCUAAAGCCCAUAGCAGCCACGUAAAACUUGCAACAACAAAGUAGAGGACAUCUAACUUGUUUUUGCAGGGCAUGUUGUGAUGUGAUAUGGUCAAGACAUGAUGCUAAAUUUUAUUGUAUGAGAUGAUCAUGUUUUGUAACCGAGUUAUCGGCAACUGGCAGGAGCCAUAUGGUUGUCGCUUUAUUGUAUGCAAUGCAAUCGCCCUGUAAUGCUUUAGUUUAUCACUAAGCGGUAGCGAUAGUCGUGGAAGCAUAAGAUUGGCAAGACGACAACGAUCCUACGAUGGAGAUCAAGGUGUCACGCAGGUGACGAUGGUGAUCAUGACGGUGGUUCGGAGAUGGAGAUCACAAGCACAAGAUAAUGAUGGCCAUAUCAUAUCACUUAUACUGAUUGCAUGUUGUAACGCCCCAAGACCGAUGUGCCAGGUGUCUUCCAGUUAUUCGCCGUCGUUGCCAUGUCAUUUGCUUGCGUGUUGCAUCUUGUCAUGUCAUCAUAUGCAUUGCAUCAUCAUGUUUUCAAAACCUGCAUCUGUCUCGGUCUCCCAGUUCCUUCCGUUGUCCGUUCCGAGCCCAGACACACUUGCACGCGCCCGCGGCAUGUCCGAAAUAUUAUUUUAUAAGUGGCCGGAAAAUGUUCUCAGAAUGGGAUGAAAGUUGGCGUGUGGUCUUAUUAUAGUGUAGAUAGACCGCAUGUCAAGUUUCAUCACAUUCGGAGUUCGUUUGACGCCCCAAUGAUUAACUAUAGCGACAUUAUAGUCGGUCAAAAUGUCGGACGUUUUCGGGCUCCGGAAACAGUUGUCGGGCUGCACUCCUCUCCUCUCGUCUCAGCCCAACCCGCUCUCCACAGUCCACCUAGGCCCAUGCCUACCCCUCUUUGCGCAGUGCAUCGGACCUUCUCGCGCGCGCGUCCGAAAGAUGUCCCGGACCCGACCCGGACAGUCGUCAUUGUUGGAUCCGGAUCAUCCCCAAACAUCUACAAAACAUCUCCGUUUUGUUAAUUGGACUCCCUAGCUACUUUAUCCGCGAUCAUCCGAUUGCGAUCGUAGGGUCGAGAUAGCCCCUAACCUAACCCGUGGUGUAUAUUCGUCCACCCCUAGUCCUUUUUGGUCAAACACUAGAAAUUAGGAGGUUUGUCCCUUCACCCGCCGCCGCACUCUCCACCUAAUCCCCUCUCGGGAUCCUCCCAGAUCUGAUCCAGCCAGCCACGCGCAGCCAACCGCCCUUCCUCAUUUUCAGAUCCACCAUCCAUCCCUUCGAUCCAUCUUCAGUCAACGAGUGCCAACGCUCAAAUCCCGCAGGAGCCCGAUGCCCUCUGCGCCUCGAUCCAUCCUCACCUACAAGAUCAGCUCCGUCCUCUCCAUCCCGCCAUAGAUGAGCAUCACACAGCCCUUUUCCUUCUCUUGUCGUCCUCGUCUCUCAACUCUCUCUCAUCUCUCUCUCUUAUCUUCACCAGGAGAUCGCCACCAAUUGAAGAUGCAGCAUCGUCCCCGAGCUCCGUCCGUGACGCCAAGUCCCUAACGCCCAGGACCUCCUCCUCGCCGCCCGUCGUCUUCGUUCAAGCCCGCCGCCAGCCGCCCGCGACCGCCUCCCCCGCAUCUGCAUCGCCUCGCCAGAGUUCCAUGCGCGCCGCUGCCGUCGUCUUCGCGCCUCCGGCGACCGAAAGCCACCAGUGCACCAGGACCCAUCACGUGCCUCCUCUGCAUCGAACGGGGAAGACGAGAUGCAUGUUUUCCUUCGUCAUUGCUGCGCCCGCACGCCAAGUUCCUCGCGGCUCCACCGGAGACUGGUCCUCGCCGGCCUUCCCUGUUCGCCCGCCGCCGCUCCAUGCCAAGUCCCUCGCCUCGCUGCCCCUUUGCCCUCUCAUCAGAGCUCUGCUCUAGGCGCCGCCGCAGCUCGCUUCAGUAAACGGGACAACGAGUGCACGAGCAGCGCUCGCGUUGACCGCCCCCUGGCCCAGCGGCCUCGCUCAGUGCCUCCACCAACUGGGCCUCAGCCCAUGGUGAGCCUCCACUGCGCCCCCCCUUCCACUGUUGGGCUAGUGUGAUUCGGCCCGAUGUAUUUUUUCUGCUAUGAAUGAAUUUUGCUAUUUACAGAAAACUACAUAUUUACAGAUUACCCCUUGCUCUUCAUGCAUUUAAUAACUCUCAAAGCGUGCAUCCAAAUUAAACAAACUUUAUAUGAAAGAUGCUUAGAAUUUUGUGUAGUUUCAUAAUAUGUCAUUUUCAUCCAUGUUUAAAAUGUUUAAACAUGCUGUUUGGUUAAAUUUGUCCCUAUGCCAUGUUAAAAUAAUUUAAAUCAUAACUUAAUAACCGUAGCUCCAAACCUAACAAACUUUAUAUGUAAAUGGGGUAGAAUUUUGCCUACUUUAACAUGGUGACUUUGCUUUGCAUGUCUAACAACUCUAAAAUUGUGUUUAGGGCAGAACAGUACCAAACCUAAUUUAUGCAUAUGAGGAUUUUCCGGAGUUGUUGUUCGUUGUUUCCGGCCUCAUUUAAACUUGACUAGAUAGGUAGUUUUACUUUUGCUUCACCCUCUUGCCAUUUUAAUCAACAUUUAAUCUUGUUGGGUACCUAAAUAAGAGAGAACUAAAUAAGUCAUGUGGUGUUUCGUCAAUAUGCAAUUGAGCUCCACUUAAUUUGUAGGAUUGUUUGUGCACUUUGCCAUGCCAUGCAUAUUUAAACUGGACAUGCAUCAUACUUGAUUGUGCAUCAUGACAUGAUUAUGUGAUGGUUGUUUACUAUGUUGUUUGCUCCUUUCCGGUGUUGCUUCUUCGGGUUGGUUCCGAUAACGUCGCAUUGUGAGGAUCCGUUCGACUUUGUCCGUUUGUCUUCUUCAUGGACUCGUUCUUCUUCCUUGCGGGAUCUCAGGCAAGAUGACCAUACCCUCGAAAUCACUUCUAUCUUUGCUUGCUAGAUGCUCGCUCUUUUGCUAUGCCUAUGCUGUGAUACCUACCACUUGCUUAUCAUGCCUCCCAUUUUGUUAAGCCAAGCCUCUAACCCACCUUGUCCUAGCAAACCAUUGUUUGGCUAUGUUACCACUUUGCUUAGCCCCUCUUAUAGCGUUGUUAGUUGCAGGUGAAGAUUGGAGUUUGUUCCUUGUUGGAACAUGGAUAUUUUGUUGGGAUAUCACAAUAUCUCUUAUUUAAUUAAUGCAUCUAUAUACUUGGUAAAGGGUCGAAGGCUCGGCCUUAUGCCUGGUGUUUUGUUCCACUCUUGCCGCCCUAGUUUCCGUCAUAUCGGUGUUAUGUUCCCGGAUUUUGCGUUCCUUACACGGUUGGGUUACAAUGGGAACCCCUUGACAGUUCGCCUUGAAUAAAACUCCUCCAGCAAUGCCCAACAUUGGUUUUACCAUUCGCCACCUAGCCUCUUUUCCAUUGGGAGUCAUGCUCCCGAGGGUCAUCAUUAUUUUAACCCCCCCAUGCUAGUGCUCCUCUAAGUGUUGGUCCAAACUAGAGCCCUGUGCAGCGCCCCCUCGGGGAAACUCGAGGUUUGGUUUUAGUUGUAUGGAGUGCUCAUCUGAGUGUGCCCUGAGAACGAGAUAUGUGAAGCUCCUAUCGGGAUUUUUCGGCACAUUCGGGCGGUGUUGCUGGACUUGUUUUACCAUUGUCGAGGAUGUCAUGUAACCGAGAUGCCGAGUCUGAUCGGAUUGUCUUGGGAGAAGGAAUAUCCUUCGUUGACCGUGAGAGCUUGUGAUGGGCUAAGUUGGGACACUCCUGCAGGGAUUUGAACUUUCGAAAGUCGUGCCCGCGGUUAUGGGCAGAUGGGAAUUUGUUAAUGUCCAUUUGUAGAAAACCUGAAACUUAACUUAAUUAAAAUGCAUCUACCGCGUGUGUAAGCGUGAUGGUCUCUUUCCGGCGGAGUCCGGGAAGUGAACACGGUGUUGGAGGUAUGCUUGAUGUAGGUUGUUCUGGGAUCACUUCUUGAUCAUAGUUGUUCGACCGUGCCUUUGCCUUCUCUUCUCGUUGUCAUUUGCGUAUGUUAGCCACCAUAUAUGCUAGUCGCUUGUUGCAGAUCCACCUCAUACAUUUUACCUUACCUAUAAGCUUAAAUAGUCUUGAUCGCGAGGGUGUGAGAUUGCUGAGUCCCCGUAACUCACAGAUACUUCCAAAACCAGUUUGCAGGUGUCGAUGUACCGAGCAGGUGAUGCAACCAAGCUCAAGGACGAGAUCAAUGAAGAUCUUGUCCUUUGUGUUGUUUCGUUCUAGUUGAUCAGUAGUGGAGCCCAGUUGGGGUCGAUCGGGGAUCUGUGUAGCAUUUGGGGUAGUCUUCUUUUAUUUUGGUUCCGUAGUCGGACCUUGAGUGUAUUUGGAUGAAUGUAAUGCUUUAUUCAUGUAUUGUGUGAAGUGGCGAUUGUAAGCCAACUAUGUAUCUAUUUUCCCCUUAAUGUAUUACAUGGGUUGUUGUGAAGAUUACCUCACUUGCGACAUUGCUUUCAAUGCGGUUAUGCCUCUAAGUCGUGCUUCGACACGUGGGAGAUAUAGCCGCAUCGAGGGCGUUACACAUGUGAUGUUUAUCUUUUAUGCAUAUUAUCUUGCUUUGAUUGAUGGUAGCAUUAUAAGAUGAUCUCUCACUAAAUUUCAAGAUAAAAAGUGGUCUCCCUGAGUAUGCACCAUUGCCAAAGUUUGUCGUGCCCAGACACCACAUGAUGAUUGGGUGUGAUAAGCUCUAUGUCCAUCUACAACGGGUGCAAGCCAGUUUUGCACACGCAGAAUACUCAGGUUAAACUUGACGAGCCUAGCAUAUGCAGAUAUGGCCUCGGAACACUGAGACCGAAAGGUCGAGCGUGAAUCAUAUAGUAGAUAUGAUCAACAUAGUGAUGUUCACCAUUGAAAACUACUCCAUUUCACGUGAUGAUCGGUUAUGGUUUAGUUGAUUUGGAUCACGUGAUCACUUAUAAGAUUAGAGGGAUGCCUUUCUAAGUGGGAGUUCUUAAGUAAUAUGACUAACUGAACUUAAAUUUAUCAUGAACUUAGUCCUGGUAGUAUUAGCAUAUCUAUGUUGUAGAUCAAUAGCUCGCGUUUAGCUCCCCUGUUUUAUUUUUGAUAUGUUCCUAGAGAAAACUAAGUUGAAAGAUGUUAGUAGCAAUGAUGCGGAUUGGAUCCAUGAUAUGAGGUUUAUCCUCAUUGUUGCACAGAAGAAUUAUGUCUUUGAUGCACCGCUAGGUGACAAACCUAUUGCAGGAGCAGAUGCAGAUGUUAUGAACGUUUGGCUAGCUCAAUAUGAUGACUACUUGAUAGUUUAGUGCACCAUGCUUAAAUGGCUUAGAAUCGGGACUUCAAAGACGUUUUGAACGUCAUGAACCAUAUGAGAUGUUCCAGGAGUUGAAGUUAAUAUUUCAAGAAAAUACUCGAGUUGAGAGAUAUGAAGUCUCCAACAAGUUCUAUAGCUAAAAGAUGGAGGAGAAUAGCUCAAGCAGUGAGCAUGCGCUCAGAUUGUCUGGGUACUACAAUCGCUUGAAUCAAGUGGGAGUUAAUCUUCCAGAUAAAAUAGUGAUUGAUAGAAUUCUCUAGUCACCAUCACCAAGUUAGUAGAACUUCAUGACGAACUAUAAUAUGCAAGGGAUAACGGAAACGAUUCCCAAGCUCUUUGUGAUGCUGAAGUCGACGAAGAUAGGAAUCAAGAAAAGCAUCAAGUGUUGAUGGUAAAAAGAACCACUAGUUUCAAGUAAAGGGACAAAGGGAAGAAAGGGGAACUUAAAGAAGAACGGCAAACAAGUUGCUGCUCAAGUGAAAAAACCCAAGUCUGGACCUAAGCCUGAAACUGAGUGCUUCUACUGCAAAGGGACUGGUCAUUGGAAGCGGAACUACCCCAAGUAAUUGGCGGAUAAGAAGGAUGGCAAAGUGAACAUAGGUAUAUUUGAUAUACAUGUUAUUGAUGUGUACUUUACUAAUGUUUAUAGCAACCCCUCGGUAUUUGAUACUAGUUCAGUUGCUAAGAAUAGUAACUCGAAACGGGAGUUGCAGAAUGAACAGAGACUAGUUAAGGGUGAAGUGAUGAUGUGUAUUGGAAAUGAUUCCAAGAUUGAUAUGAUCAUCAUCGCACACUCCCUAUACUUUCGAGAUUAGUGUUAAACCUAAAAUAAAUGUUAUUUAGUGUUUGCAUUGACCAUAAAUAUGAUUGGUUCAUGUUUAUUGUAAUACGGUUAUUCAUGUAAGUUAGAGAAUAAUUGUUGUUCUGUUUACAUGAAUAAAACCUUCUAUGGUCAUACACCCAAUGAAAAUGGUUUGUUGGAUCUCGAUCGUGGUUAUACACAUUUUUCAUAAUAUUGAAGCCAAAAGAUGCAAAGUUAAUAAUGAUAGUGCAACUUAUUUGUGGCACUAUCGUUUAGGUCAUAUUGGUGUAAAGCGCAUGAAGAAAAUCCAUGAUGAUGGGCUUUUGGAAUCACUUGAUUAUGAAUUAGUUGAUGCUUGCGAACCAUGCCUCAUGGGAAAGAUGACUAAGACUCCGUUCUCCGGAACAAUGGAGCGAGCAACAGAUUUGUUGGAAAUCAUACAUACUGAUGUAUGUGGUCCAAUGAAUAUUGAGGCUCGCGGCAAGUAUCAUUAUUUUCUGAUCUUCACGGAUGAUUUGAGCAGAUAUGAGUAUAUCUACUUGAUGAAACACAAGUCUGAAACAUUUGAAAAGUUCAAAGAAUUUCAGAGUGAAGUGGAGAAUCAUCGUAACAAAAAUAAAAGUUUCUACGGUAUGAUCGCAGAAGUAAAAUAUUUGAGUUAAUGAGUUUGGCCUUCAGUUAAAACAAUGUGAAAUAGUUUCACUACUCAUGCCACCUGGAACACCACAGUGUAAUGGUGUGUCCGAACGUCAUAACCAUACUUUAUUAGAUAUAGUGCGAUCUAUAAGGUCUCUUGCCGAUCUACCAUUAUCAUUUUGGGGUUAUGCAUUAGAGACAACUACAUUCACGUUAAAUAGGGCACCAUCUAAAUCCGUGGAGAUGACACCGUAUGAACUAUGGUUUGGUGACAAACCUAAGCUGUCGUUUCUUAAAGUUUGGGACUACGAUGCUUAUGUGAAAAAGUUUCAACAAGAUAAGCUCGAACCCAAGUCGGAAAGUAAAUCUUCAUAGUAUACCCAAAAGAAACUGUUGGGUACACCUUCUAUCACAGAUCCAAAGGCAAGAUAUUCGUUGCUGAGAAUGGAUCCUUUCUAGAGAAGGAUUUUCUCUCGAAAGAAGUGAGUGGGAGGAAAGUGGAACUUGAUAAGGUAAUUGUACCAUCUCCUGAAUUGGAAAAUAGUUCAUCACAGAAAUCAGUUCCAGUGAUGUCUACACCAACAAGAGAGGAAGUUAAUGAUGAUGAUCAUGAAACUUCAGAUCAAGUUACUACAGAACUUCGUAGAUCAACCAGAGUGAGAUCCGCACCAGAGUGGUAUGGUAAUCCUGUUCUGGAGUUCAUGUUACUUGACCAUGACGAACCUAUGAACUAUGAGGAAGCGAUGAUGAGCCCAGAUUUCAUAAAAUGGUUUAAGGCUAUGAAAUCUGAGAUGGGAUCCAUGUAUAAGAACAAAGUAUGGACUUUGAUUGACUUGCCCGAUGAUUGGUGAGCCAUUGAGAUUAAAUGGAUCUUCAAGAGGAAGACGGACGCUGAUAGUAGUGUUACUAUCUACAAAGCUAGAAUUGUCGCAAAAGGUUUUCGACAAGUUCAAGGUGUUGACUACGAUGAGAGUUUCUCACUCGUAUCUAUGCUUAAGUCUGUCCGAAUCAUGUUGGAAAUUGCCGCAUUUUAUGAAAUCUGGCAAAUGGAUAAACAAAACUGCAUUCCUUAAUGGAUUUAUAAGGAAGAGUUGUAUAUGAUGCAACCAGAAGGUUUUGUCAAUCCUAAAGGUACUAACAAAAUAUGCAUGCUCCAGCGAUCCAUCUAUGGACUGGUGCAAGCAUCUCGGAGUUGGAAUAUACGCUUUGAUAAGUUGAUCAAAGCAUAUAGUUUUAUACAGGCUUGCGGUGAAGCUUGUAUUUACAAGAAAGUGAGUGGGAGCACUACAACAUUUUUGAGAAGUAUAUGUGAAUGACAUAUUGUUGAUCAAAGAUAAUGUAGAAUUAUUCUGCAAAGCAUAAAGGAAUGUUUGAAAGGAGUUUUUCAAAGAAAGACCUCGGUGAAGCUUCUUACAUAUUGAGCAUCAAGAUCUAUAGAGAUAGAUCAAGACGCUUGAUAAGUUUUCAAUGAGUACAUACCUUGACAAGUUUUUGAAGUAGUUCAAAAUGGAACAGUCAAAGAAGGAGUUCUUUCCUGUGUUACAAGGUGUGAAGUUGAGUAAGACUCAAAACCCGACCACGGCAGAAGAUAGAGAGAGAAUGAAAGGCAUUCCCUAUGCCUCAGCCAUAGGUUCUAUAAAGUAUGCCAUGCUGUGUACCAGACCUAUUGUAUACCCUGCCCUGAGUUUGGCAAGGGAGUACAAUAGUGAUCUAGGAGUAGAUCACUGGACAUUGGUCAAAAUUAUCCUUAGUUGAAUAAGGAUAUGUUUCUCGAUUAUGGAGGUGACAAAAGGUUCGUCGUAACGGGUUACGUCAAUGCAAGUUUUGGCACUGAUCCAGAUGACUCAAAGUCUCAAUCUGGAUACAUAUUGAAAGUGGGAGCAAUUAGCUAGAGUAGAUCCGUGCAGAGCAUUGUUGACAUAGAAAUUUGCAAAAUACAUACGGAUCUGAAUGUGGCAGACCCGUUGACUAAACUUCCCUCACAAGCAAAACAUGAUCACACCUUAGUACUAUUUGGGUAUUAAUCACAUAGCGAUGUGAACUAGAUUAUUGACUCUAGUAAACCCUUUGGGUGUUGGUCACAUGACGAUGUGAACUAUGGGUGUUGAUCACAUGGUGAUGUGAACUAUUGAUGUUAAAUCACAUGGCGAUGUGAACUAGAUUAUUGACUCUAGUGCAAGUGGGAGACUGAAGGAAAUAUGCCCUAGAGGCAAUAAUAAAGUUAUUAUCUAUUUCCUUAUUUCAUGAUAACUGUUUAUUAUUUAUGCUAGAAUUGUAUUCACCAGAAACAUAAUACAUGUGUGAAUACAUAGACAAACAGAGUGUCACUAGUAUGCCUCUACUUGACUAGCUCGUUGAAUCAAAGAUGGUUAAGUUUCCUAGCCAUAGCCAUGAGUUAUCAUUUGAUUAACAGGGUCACAUCAUUAGAGAAUGAUGUGAUUGACUUGACCCAUUCCGUUAGCAUAGCACUUGAUCGUUUAGUUUGUUGCUAUUGCUUUCUUCAUGACUUAUACAUGUUCCUAUGACUAUGAGAUUAUGCAACUCCCAUUUACCAGAGGAACACUUUGUGUGCUACCAAACGUCACAACGUAACUGGGUGAAUAGAAAGGUGCUCUACAUGUGUCUCUAAAGGUACUUGUUGGGUUGGCGUAUUUCGAGAUUAGGAUUUGUCACUCCGAUUGUCGGAGAGGUAACUCUGGGCCCUCUCGGUAAUGCACAUCACUUAAGCCUUGCAAGCAUUGCAACUAAUGAGUUAGUUGCGGGAUGAUGUAUUACAGAACGAGUAAAGAGACUUGCCGGUAACAAGAUUGAACUAGGUAUUGAGAUACCGACAAUCGAAUCUCGGGCAAGUAACAUACCGAUGACAAAGGGAACAACGUAUGUUGUUAUGCGGUUUGACCGAUAAAGAUCUUCGUAGAAUAUGUGGGAGCCAAUAUGAACAUCCAGGUUCCGCUAUUGGUUAUUAACCGAAGACAUGUCUCGGUCAUGUCUACAUAGUUCUCGAACCCGUAGGGUCCGCACGCUUAACGUUUCGAUGACGGUUAUAUUAUGAGUUUAUAUGUUUUGAUGUACCGAAGGUUGUUCGGAGUCCCGGAUGUGAUCCCGGACAUGACGAGGAGUCUCGAAAUGGUCGAGACAUGAAGAUUGAUAUAUUGGAAGCCUAUGUUUGGAUAUCGGAAGUGUUCCGGGUGAAAUCGGGAUUUUACUGGAGUACCGGGAGGUUACCGGAACCCCCCGGGAGGUAAAUGGGCCUUAGUGGGCCUUUAUAGAGAAGAGGAGAGGCGGCCAGGGCUGGGCCGUGCGCCCCUCCCCCUUAGUCCCAAUAGGACAAGGAGAGGGGGCGGCGCCCCCCUUUCCUUCUCUCCCUCCUCUCUCCCCCUCUCGAAUCCUAUUCCAAUUAGGAAAAGGGGGGAGUCGUACUUCCGGUAGGAGUAGGACUCCUCCUGGCGCGCCCUCUCCCUGGUCGGCCGCACCCCCCCCCCUUGCUCCUUUAUACACGGGGGCAGGGGCACCCCAUAGAGACAACAAUUGAUCAAGUUGAUCUUUUAGCCGUGUGCGGUGCCCCCCUCCACCAUAGUCCACCUCGAUAAUACUGUAGUGGUGCUUAGGCGAAGCCCUGCAUCGAUAGAACAUCAACAUCGUCACCGCGCUGUCGUGCUGACGAAACUCUCCCUCAACACUCGGCUGGAUCGGAGUUCGAGGGACGUCAUCGGGCUGAACGUGUGCUGAACUCGGAGGAGUCGUGCGUUCGGUACUUGAUCGGUCGAAUCGUGAAGACGUACGAGUACAUCAACCGCGUUGUGCUAACGCUUCCGCUUUCGGUCUAUGAGGGUACGUGGACAACACUCUCCCCUCUCAUUGUUGUGCAUCACCAUGAUCUUGCGUGUGCGUGGGAAAUUUUUUGAAAUUACUACAUUCCCCAACAGAUAUUAGAGUCAUGCUAGUGGAGUAAUUGUGAACCUGAGAGAUAUUUGUGUUAAAGUUUGUGAUUCCCGUAGCAUGCAUGUUUGGUGAACCGUUAUGUGAUGAAGUUGGAGCAUGAUUUAUUUAUUGAUUGUCUUCCUUAUGAGUGGCAGUCGGGAUCGCGCGAUGGUUAACUCCUACAAACCCUUCCCCUAGGAGCAUGCGCAUAGUACUUUGUUUCGAUGACUAAUAGAUUUUUGCAAUAAGUAUGUGAGUUCUUUAUGACUAAUGUCGGGUCCAUGGAUUAUACGCACUCUCGCCCUUCCACCAUUGCUAGCUUCUCUUGUGUCGCACAACUUUCGCCGGUACCAUACACCCACCAUUUACCCUCCUCAAAACAGCCACCAUACCUACCUAUUAUGGCAUCUCCAUAGCCAUUCCGAGAUAUAUUGCCAUGCAACUUUCCACCAUUCCGUUUAUUAUGACAUGCUUCAUCAUUGUAUAUUGUUUUGCAUGAUCAUGUAGUUGACAUCGUAUUUGUGGCAAAGCCACCUUUCAUAAUUCUUUCAUACAUGUCACUCUUGAGUCAUUGCACAUCCCGGUACACCGCCGGAGGCAUUCAUAUAGAGUCAUAUUUUGUUCUAAGUAUUGAGUUGUAAUUCUUGAGUUGUAAGUAAAUAAAAGUGUGAUGAUCAUCAUUAUUAGAGCACUGUCCCAGUGAGGAAAGGAUGAUGGAAACUAUGAUUCCCCCACAAGUCGGGUUGAGACUCCGGACGGAAAAAAAAGAGGCCAAAAAAAUAGAGGGCCCAAAAAAGAGAAAACAAAAAAUGAGAGAAAAAGAGAGAAGGGGCAAUCCUACUAUCCUUUUACCACACUUGUGCUUCAAAGUAGCACCAUGAUCUUCAUAAUAGAGUCUCAUGUGUUGUCACUUUCAUAUACUAGUGGGAAUUUUCCAUCAUAGAACUUGGCUUGUAUAUUCCAACGAUGGGCUUCCUCAAAUGCCCUAGGUCUUCAUGAGCAAGCAAGUUGGAUGCACACCCACUUAGUUUCUUUUUGAGCUUUCAUACACUAAUAGCUCUAGUGCAUCCGUUGCAUGGCAAUCCCUACUCACUCACAUUGAUAUCUAUUGAUGGGCAUCUCCAUAGCCCGUUGAUACGCCUAGUUGAUGUGAGACUAUCUCUGAUGAAUACAUGACUACCUUGGAUACAACCAAAAAUAUUCCAUACAUGUAUAUUUGUGAGGUGAUUUCUAAUGAAAACUAUGCAAUAAUUUAUUUAUGUCAUCCAGGACAAAAAUACUUCACAAACUUUUGUGCCAUGUCUAAUUGCAGGUGUAUGGGACAUUUAUACAAUCCACAUAUGAAGAUAAGGGGAAAAGAGAAGUUUAGGUGUUGUUCAAAAAGUCCUCUCACGUCACUUUUGGGCCAAGAGAAGAUAGAGUCCAAGUCUCUUACAUUCUGAAUUCAGAUUCGGACUGCACAGACAUACCUGACUCAAAACGCCAACAACUUUUUCAUACGGACUCCAAAUUAGGUGAUUGUUUUUUUGUUUGAAAGUAGAUUUCGUUCUCUUUCCAACACAAUUGGAUUGACCUCCAAAUUCGUCUGAAGCGUUGAUUUAUGGACGAAACAAUCUGACGUUGCAGCAGAAUCCGAGUCAAAUUACAAGCCCAAAGGUGUUGCAUCACCUCCACUUGGGCCCAUGAGCCUUGUACGAUCUAGGGUUAGUUUUAGGCUGCCUUGGGAUGUCCUCCCACCUCCUUGGCCGCCACCCCUUGCUCCUAUAUAAGUAGAUCCAUCUAGUAGCUUUUUCCUUGGGAUUUGUUUAGUUAAAAGUUAGCCAACGCAACUUCGUGUACUUCGUUUGUGUCCAACGACCAGACCAAGACCGCUUCUGGAUCCCCACCAUUAUCAAUACUUCAUAUAUAUUCGCAAUAUUGAGAUUGCUUUAUCAUAUUCUUGCUCGUUCUUCGAUUGCUUGUAGGAAUAGACCUUCGUGGUCAGGCUGACCGUGCUUCCGGCAUCGUCAGUAACAUCGGGAGAUUGGUUUAGCGAUUGCUAAGGCGCAACGUCAUGCACGUUUGUAGUCGGAUUGUCAAAGUCAUCUCCACCAAAUCGAUAGUUAUCAUCUCAUCGAAAGAUCGGGACACCCUCGCCUGAUGUUUGUGUUGUUUGUCCUGAUGAGGACAUCAGUAUCAUUGUUACAACCACAACCCCUGCUGCUAUACAUACUGGACCAAUUACUAGAGCUCGCGCACGCCAAUUAAAUUAUCAGGUACUUUCGUUUCUUGGUAAUGAUUCUAAUGUUCAUGAGAAUAUGAUGCUGCCUAAAUUGGGUACAUUUGUUUUUCUUACAAAUGAAGGGUCUGGCAUGGAUAAGAGGGAUGAACACUGGAGCAAGACCAAGCAUGGAGAUGAUGGCAUGUGCAAGGGGAUCAAGAACGGAGUUACAAUUGAUGAUUUCAGGACUUUGAAGCCACCAUUAGGAGUGCAUGAAGCCUUGGACGAAAUAUACAAGAUGCCACUUCAUAAAUUUCGUCCAGAGACUAUUCUAGGUGUUGCGUCACCUUAUUAUUGGGCCAGGCCCAUAUAUUUUCGAAAUACUUAAGUAUAGGCUGUUUUUAGAGUCUGUAUGUGUGGGGAAACAAGAGUUAGGGUUGGUUUCGGACCCCUCCUCCAAGGGCCACGAAAUCCCCCCCCCCUCUUCCUUCAUAUAUACAGCCCUUAGGGCGUCGUUUAGACUUUGGGUUUUGUUCAGAUUAAAAGUUCGCCAUAGCUGCAACUUCGCAUACUUCGUUUGUGUUCAACGACCAGACCAAGAUGUCACAGAACCCCACCUUGAUCGAUAAAGCUUUCAUCUUAUAUUCGCAAUAUCCAGAUUGCAAUCUCAGUUUCUUGCUUGUUCUUCAUUUGCUCAUAGGAAACAGACCCUCCUAGUCAGGUUGAUCGUGCUCCGACGUGGUCAAUAACCCCUCGGAAGUUGGCUUAGCGAUUGCUAACUUGCGACGUCUCGCACGUUCGUAGUCGAAUCGUCAAGGUCGACUCCCACAGAAAACGAUAGCCACCCUCUCAUUGAAACAUCGGGACACCUUCGCCUCUAUCAAGUGGUAUCAGAUUUCCAGGUUGCUCGGUGAAAUUUUACAGUUUUUCAUAGUUUAGAUCGAGUCUGUUCUUCAUACCUACAGUCCACGAAAAAAUCAAAAAAAAUUACAGUUAGUUCAUCAUAUUCGAACCAGUCUGAGCCUUUGCAUAGUCUUUUCAGUAUUUUGCUUUGUUGAAUUUGCAGUUGCAUCAUCGUGUCUAGUUGCUGGUCUUAGAGUCUAGUCUUUUAGAGUUUCGAUUUCUGGUCAUAAGUUGUCACGCCGCCGUCGCACGAUCAUCAUCGCCCCUCCCUUCUACCACCACCGCUUAUCCGCCACCGAUCCGUCUCCAUAUACCAUCACCAAUCUGUAUCCAUAUACCACCACCAAUCUGUAUCCAUAUACCACCACCGCUGCCAUAUCCUACCACCAUAUAUCCACCACCAAUCCGAGUUCCUUUCAUAUUAGGUUUGUUUUCGAGAUUCGUCUAAUUUCCGAUUCGUGUUUCCUUGCGUGAGUAGGUUUCAGAAGAAAAAAAAGAGUCUGGAGACCCCCAGGCAGUUUUUAGGCCAAAAUUUUCGCAGGCAAAACUAUUUUUCCCUAUUCAAUUUUUAGGCUUUUCUGAGUCUUUUGAGCCACGUGUCAUCAUAGAGAUUUUUUGUCGCACUUUUUUGUUGUCGCUGCCCUGAUUUCCGAAAAAAAAGUUAAAAAAAAUUUGUGCCCAUCCUGUUAGUUUGACCUGGGAAGAGUUUUGAGACACUCGCCAUUAUAGUGAUUUUUCACAAAAAAAGAGGAGCGCCAAAAAAACAGAGCGAAAAAUCCAGAGUGUGCUUUUCCCUUGUUUACGUACAGCGCCGUGAUUUUGUUAGUGUUCUAGGCUCGCGUCUCUAGCACGGUCAAGCCUAGGACUAGCACAGUACCGUCAUUGAGCGUUUAUUCAACUUUGCAUCUCUGAAUUGAUUAUUGAUAAUCUUUUUGCUACCAUAUUAUAAGCCUUCCUAGCUCCACAUACAUCUACGUCGUGCGUUUGACUCUCCCUGGUAAUCGCUCUAUCCAAGCUUUGAGAUUUUUGACUACAUCGGUUGCCGAUCACCACCUGCUGGGUAAGAACUGGUAAGAAUUUGAGAUUUGCUUGACGGAUUUGUGACAACAGCAACAACAACAACAACAUCAACAACAACAGCAGCAGCAACAACAACAACAACAACAACAACAACAACAACAACAACAACAACAACAACAACAACAACAACAGCAACAACAACAGCAACAGCAGCAGCAACAGCAGCAGCAACAGCAGCAGCAACAGCAGCANNNNNNNNNNNNNNNNNNNNNNNNNNNNNNNNNNNNNNNNNNNNNNNNNNNNNNNNNNNNNNNNNNNNNNNNNNNNNNNNNNNNNNNNNNNNNNNNNNNNNNNNNNNNNNNNNNNNNNNNNNNNNNNNNNNNNNNNNNNNNNNNNNNNNNNNNNNNNNNNNNNNNNNNNNNNNNNNNNNNNNNNNNNNNNNNNNNNNNNNNNNNNNNNNNNNNNNNNNNNNNNNNNNNNNNNNNNNNNNNNNNNNNNNNNNNNNNNNNNNNNNNNNNNNNNNNNNNNNNNNNNNNNNNNNNNNNNNNNNNNNNNNNNNNNNNNNNNNNNNNNNNNNNNNNNNNNNNNNNNNNNNNNNNNNNNNNNNNNNNNNNNNNNNNNNNNNNNNNNNNNNNNNNNNNNNNNNNNNNNNNNNNNNNNNNNNNNNNNNNNNNNNNNNNNNNNNNNNNNNNNNNNNNNNNNNNNNNNNNNNNNNNNNNNNNNNNNNNNNNNNNNNNNNNNNNNNNNNNNNNNNNNNNNNNNNNNNNNNNNNNNNNNNNNNNNNNNNNNNNNNNNNNNNNNNNNNNNNNNNNNNNCAGCAACAGCAACAGCAACAGCAACAGCAACAGCAACAGCAACAGCAACAGCAACAGCAACAGCAACAGCAACAGCAACAGCAACAGCAACAGCAACAGCAACAGCAACAACAACAACAACAACAACAGCAACAACAACAACAACAACAACAACAACAACAACAACAACAACAACAACAACAACAACAACAACAACAACAACAACAACAACAACAACAACAACAACAACAACAACAACAACAACAACAACAACAACAACAACAACAACAACAACAACAACAACAACUACAACAACAACAACAACAACAACAACAACAACCACGACU